UUCGGAGGGGGCUAGCGUUGUUCGGAAUUACUGGGCGUAAAGCGCACGUAGGCGGCUUUGUAAGUUAGAGGUGAAAGCCCGGGGCUCAACUCCGGAACUGCCUUUAAGACUGCAUCGCUAGAAUUGUGGAGAGGUGAGUGGAAUUCCGAGUGUAGAGGUGAAAUUCGUAGAUAUUCGGAAGAACACCAGUGGCGAAGGCGACUCACUGGACACAUAUUGACGCUGAGGUGCGAAAGCGUGGGGAGCAAACAGG
rnacentral:rRNA from 1 species